CGUGUAGGCGGAUAUACAUGUCAGAUGUGAAAUCCCUUGGCUCAACUGAGGAAGUGCAUCUGAAACUGCAUAUCUUGAGUACGAUAGAGGAGAGUGGAAUUCCCAGUGUAGAGGUGAAAUUCAUAGAUAUUGGGAAGAACACCGGUGGCGAAGGCGGCUCUCUGGAUCGAUACUGACGCUGAUACGCGAAAGCGUGGGGAGCAAACAG
rnacentral:rRNA from 1 species